ACUACACUACACUACACUACACUACACUACACUACACACACUACACUACACUACACUACACUACACUACACUACACACAACACUACACUACACUACUCUACACUACACUACACUGCACUACACUACACUACACUACACUACACACAACACUACACUACACUACACUACACUACACUACACUACACUACACACUACACUACACUACACACAACACUACACUACACUACACUACACUACACUAUUGAGACAGCUUCACCCGCUUCACCCGCAGACUACACUACAACACUACACUACACUACACUACUCUACACUACACUGCACUACACUACACUACACUACACCACACCACACCACACCACACUACACUACACACUACACUACACUACACUACACUACACACUACACUACACUACACACAACACUACACUACACUACACCACACCACACUACACUACACUACACUACACCACACCACACUACAAACUACACUACACUACACUACACUACACUACACUACAGUACACUACACUACACACUACACUACACUACACAAAACACAACACAACACUACACCACACCACACCACACCACACUACACUACACUACACUACACUACACACACACUACACUACACACACUACACUACACUACACUACACAACACACACACUACAACACUAUACUACACUACACUACACCACACUACACUACACUACACUACACUACACUACAACACUACACUACAAUACACUACACACUGCACUACACUACAGUACACUACACUACACUACACACUACACUACACACAACACAAAACAACACUACACCACACCACACCACACCACACCACACCACACUACACUACACUACACUACACUACAACACUACACUACACUACACUACACUACAACACUACACUGCACUACACUACACUACACUACACUACACUACACUACACUGCACUACACCACACUACACCACACACACUACACUACACUACACUACAACACACUACACUACAACACACUACACUACACUACACUACACUACAUUACAACACUACACUACACUACACUACACUACACUGCACUACACUACACUACACUACACUACAACACACACUACACUACACUGCACUGCACUACACUACACUACACUACACUACACUACACUACACCACACCACACUACACUACACUACACCACACCACACCACACUACACACUACACUACACUACACUACACCACACCACACCACACCACACUACACCACACCACACCACACUACACUACACACUACACAGUACACUACACUACACUACACUACACACACACUACACUACACUACACUACACUACACUACACUACAACACUACACUGCACUACACUACACUACACUACACUACACUACACUGCCCUACACUACACUACACUACACCACACACACUACACUACACACUACACUACACUACACUGCACUGCACUGCACUGCACUGCACUACACUACACUACACUACACCACACCACACCACACUACAUUACACUACACUACACACUACACUACACUACAGUACACUACACUACACUACACUACACACUACACUACACUACACUACACUACACUACACUACACACAACACUACACCACACCACACCACACCACACCACACCACACUACACCACACCACACCACACCACACUACACACUACACUACAGUACACUACACUACACUACACACUACACUACACUACACACAACACUACACUACACCACACCACACCACACCACACUACACUACACUACACACACACUACACUACACACACUACACUACACUACACUAUACUACACUACACUAAACUACACUACACUAAACUACACUACACUAUACUACACUACACCACACUUCACUACACUACACACUACACUACACUACACUACACUACACUACACUACUACACUACACUACACUACACUACAACACUAUACUACACUACACACUACACUACACUACACUACACUACAACACUAUACUACACUAUACUACAAUACACUACACUACUACACUACACUACACUACACUACACUACACAACACACACACUACAACACUAUACUACACUACACUACACUACACUACAACACUACACUACACUACACUACACUACACUACAAUACACUACACACAUACUACACUACACUACACUACACUACACUACAACACUACACUGCACUACACUACACUACACUACACUACACUACACUACACUGCACUACACUACACCACACUACACCACACACACUACACUACACUACACUACACUACAACACACUACACUACACUACACUACACUACACUACGCACUACACUACACUACACUACACUACACUACACUACACUACACUACACCACACCACAGUAUACACACUACACAGUACACUACACUACACUACACUACACUACACACACUACACUACACUACACUACACUACAACACUACACUGCACUACACUACACUACACUACACUACACUGCCCUACACUACACUACACUACACCACACACACUACACUACACACUACACUACACUGCACUGCACUGCACUGCACUACACUACACUACACUACACUACACUACACUACACACUACACUACACUACACUACACACACUACACUACACUACACACUACACUACACUACACUACACUACACUACACUACACACUACACUACACUACACACACUACACUACACUACACACACUACACUACACUACACUACACUACAUAAGCCACUGCACACUACACUACACUACACUACACUACACUACACUACACACUACACCACACUACACUACACAACAUUACACUACACUACACUACACUACACUACAACACUACACUACACUACACUACACUACACUACACUACACUACACUACACUACACUACACCACUACACACUACACUACACUACACUACACUACACUACACUACACUACACCACUACACUACACUACAUUACACUACACUACACUACACUACACUACACUACACUACACUACAACACCACACUACACUACACUACAUUACACUACACUACACUACACUACAACACUGCACUACACUACACUACACUACACUACAACACUGCACUACACCUUCCUAUGUACUUUUAUAACACACAGCUGGGAGUGUCAUCUGUUUAAUAAUCGAUAGUCGAUUACUUUUGAAAAAGAAAGCACCAUUUUAAGGAAGAACGAAUAACCAUUAAUAAUCGAUAAAAAGGAAACAUAUUGAUUGUCUCGAGACCCCUAGGGCAAAUUACAAACUCAUCUUAAGAUCCUAUUUUGAGUAUGUUUGACCUGGCAGAGUGCAUGUAAAGGGUAC
ensembl:lncRNA